AGUUAGACUCUUUUUGGACUCUCCCUCUGGAUACAUCUUGCAGUCCCCACCGGCAGACGGGAGAUUUGGCCACUGGAAACCUGCCGCUGUGUCACUUGAGAGCCACACUCAGCUUUGCAGCCUGGCUUUGUUGC